AGCCUGAAGUGGGACUCCAGCGCCUCCGCCUGGUGCAAGUCACGGCAAAUGAACUGCAGGGAGCUCAGGACCAGGCGGCUGAGGCAGAAGACUUUCAAUAGUUUAAUUAGACAUGGGUGAUUAAGUUCUUCGAUUCACUAAUACAAAGGAAUGUACCUGCCUACGUUUCAAUAACCCAUUUAGUAAGUUACUAAAUGGGUUAUUGAAACGUAGGCAGGUUAACAAGUUAAACUUGCUUAGGGCAAUGUUGAUUGGGCCAGCUCUGGUCGUUUUUCAGCUGAAAUUUAAUCUUAAAAUCUCAACAUCUUAAAAUGCUUUCUAAUUGCAGUAGUAAUACUAAACAACAAGAUGGAAUGGUGAUUAGGUUUUGAUACUAUUAAUCGUUAUUU